GGGCAGCUAGCUCAAUGGUAGAGCAAGUGACUCUUAAUCACUGGGUUCAGGGUUCGAGUCCCUGGCUGCUCACCA
rnacentral:tRNA from 1 species